AUGAACGCUGGCGGCGUGCCUCAUACAUGCAAGUCGAGCGAACAGAUGAGGAGCUUGCUCCUCUGGCGUUCGCGGCGGACGGGUGAGUAACACGUGGAUAACCUACCUAUAAGACUGGGAUAACUUCGGGAAACCGGAGCUAAUACCGGAUAAUAUAUUGAACCGCAUGGUUCAAUAGUGAAAGACGGUUUUGCUGUCACUUAUAGAUGGAUCCGCGCCGCAUUAGCUAGUUGGUAAGGUAACGGCUUACCAAGGCGACGAUGCGUAGCCGACCUGAGAGGGUGAUCGGCCACACUGGAACUGAGACACGGUCCAGACUCCUACGGGAGGCAGCAGUAGGGAAUCUUCCGCAAUGGGCGAAAGCCUGACGGAGCAACGCCGCGUGAGUGAUGAAGGUCUUCGGAUCGUAAAACUCUGUUAUUAGGGAAGAACAAAUGUGUAAGUAACUAUGCACGUCUUGACGGUACCUAAUCAGAAAGCCACGGCUAACUACGUG
rnacentral:rRNA from 1 species